AAAAUCACAUAAAUUAAUUUGGGGUUCAACGAAUCCCGAUGUUGCAUUUCUCCGCCAGCGACCAAACACAUCUGAAUUCUCAUCUCUUAAAUUUUCUCGUCAAAGUUUUACAAUCCCAAACACUUUUUCUUCUGGUGAAGUGUUAUGUUCGAUUGGGUUACAAUUUGAUUUGUGUACUCAUCAGAUCUAUGUGCAUUUUGAAUUCCUCGCCCAUUUUCAGUUGUAAUAUGGGUUUUUGGGGAAACAGAAGGUCAAUUUCAGUGAGGAGUGAGAUGGAUCUGUGAUUUCUUGAUCUUGAUAACAUGGAGGCCAGGCGCUGUGCUAGAGAGGGAAAUUAGCAUCAUUUUUGUAAUGGAGUUGUUGCAAUGGAUUACCUCGGUGGGCUUUCAGAAGGCCUUCCUUCAUGGUUACAUACCAAGCUUUGACAGCGUGUUGAUGACGUCAUUGAGCAUUACUCAAAAUUUAAGACUGCCUAUGUUGUCAUUUUUUACAAACAUGAACCCCGUUUACAGACUGUCCUGGAGUUGCUGAAUGCCACAAAAGAGAUAGAGGGACUACUAGAAAAGACCUCCUUAGCACCACCUUCGUUACCAAGGGACCCACAACAAUAGAGAGGAGAAGAAGAAACAUGAAGAAAGCGAAGUAAAGGAAGAAAAAGAGAAAAUUAGUAUGUGCUUUGAUGGAGUGAUGAAGCGAGUGAUAUAUAGUGAGGGAAGCUAGCAUGCAUGGCUUAGCACAUAAUUCACACUAGUAGAAAGGUGACUUUUUCUCCCACUGUAUUAUAAUGUGAUUAUAUGUAAUUGUUACAAGAAUCAAAUAUUAUGCAUUAAAUUUAAUGGAGAGUUGUCUAUAAAAUAGUACUACUUUUAAACA